rnacentral:rRNA from 1 species
UACGGAGGGUGCGAGCGUUGUCCGGAAUCAUUGGGCGUAAAGGGCGCGUAGGUGGCCCGGUCAGUUCGUGGUGAAAGCGCGGGGCUCAACCCUGCGUCGGCCAUGAAUACUGCCGCGGCUGGAGCACUGUAGAGGCAGGCGGAAUUCCGGGUGUAGCGGUGGAAUGCGUAGAGAUGUGGAGGAACACCAGUGGCGAAGGCGACUCUUUGGUCUGUAACUGACGCUGAGGCGCGAAAAGCGUGGGGGAGCAAACAGGG